UACGAAGGGGGCUAGCGUUGCUCGGAAUCACUGGGCGUAAAGCGCACGUAGGCGGAUUGCUAAGUCAGGGGUGAAAUCCUGGAGCUCAACUCCAGAACUGCCUUUGAUACUGGCAACCUUGAGUCCGGGAGAGGUGAGUGGAACUGCGAGUGUAGAGGUGAAAUUCGUAGAUAUUCGCAAGAACACCGGUGGCGAAGGCGGGUCUCUGGGCCGUAACUGACGCUGAGGAGCGAAAGCGUGGGGAGCGAACAGG
rnacentral:rRNA from 1 species